UUGCUUCAGAAGCAUAUAUACUAAAAUUGGAGCAAUACAAAUAAGGUUAGUGUGGAUCCUGCACAAAGAUGACACACAAAACUCAAACAGAUGCAGCAUUGUGUC
ensembl:snRNA U6 U6 spliceosomal RNA